rnacentral:rRNA from 1 species
UACAGAGGGGGCAAGCGUUAUUCGGAAUUAUUGGGCGUAAAGGGCGUGUAGGCGGCCUUGCAAGUGACGGGUGAAAUCCCUCGGCUUAACCGAGGAACUGCCUGUCAGACUGCAUGGCUUGAGACCGGGAGAGGUGAGUGGAAUUCCCAGUGUAGCGGUGAAAUGCGUAGAUAUUGGGAGGAACACCAGUGGCGAAGGCGGCUCACUGGACCGGUACUGACGCUGAGGCGCGAAAGCGUGGGGAGCAAACAGG